UCGGCAAAAUGACCCCGUAACUUAGGGAUAAGGGGUGCCACCAUCCGGUGGCCGCAGAGAAUAGGCCCAAGCGACUGUUUACCAAAAACAUAGGUUUCUGCUAAGUCGCAAGACGAUGUAUAGGAGCGGACGCCUGCCCGGUGCUGGAAGGUUAAGGGGAUCUGUUAGAGCAAUCGAAGCAGUGAACUUAAGCCCCAGUAAACGGCGGCCGUAACUAUAACGGUCCUAAGGUAGCGAAAUUCCUUGUCGGGUAAG
rnacentral:rRNA from 1 species